GGGUUGUGAGGUUAAGCGACUAAGCGUACACGGUGGAUGCCCUGGCAGUCAGAGGCGAUGAAGGACGUGCUAAUCUGCGAUAAGCGUCGGUAAGGUGAUAUGAACCGUUAUAACCGGCGAUUUCCGAAUGGGGAAACCCAGUGUGUUUCGACACACUAUCAUUAACUGAAUCCAUAGGUUAAUGAGGCGAACCGGGGGAACUGAAACAUCUAAGUACCCCGAGGAAAAGAAAUCAACCGAGAUUCCCCCAGUAGCGGCGAGCGAACGGGGAGCAGCCCAGAGCCUGAAUCAGUGUGUGUGUUAGUGGAAGCGUCUGGAAAGGCGCGCGAUACAGGGUGACAGCCCCGUACACAAAAAUACACAUACUGUGAGCUCGAUGAGUAGGGCGGGACACGUGGUAUCCUGUCUGAAUAUGGGGGGACCAUCCUCCAAGGCUAAAUACUCCUGACUGACCGAUAGUGAACCAGUACCGUGAGGGAAAGGCGAAAAGAACCCCGGCGAGGGGAGUGAAAAAGAACCUGAAACCGUGUACGUACAAGCAGUGGGAGCACGCUUAGGCGUGUGACUGCGUACCUUUUGUAUAAUGGGUCAGCGACUUAUAUUCUGUAGCAAGGUUAACCGAAUAGGGGAGCCGAAGGGAAACCGAGUCUUAACUGGGCGUUAAGUUGCAGGGUAUAGACCCGAAACCCGGUGAUCUAGCCAUGGGCAGGUUGAAGGUUGGGUAACACUAACUGGAGGACCGAACCGACUAAUGUUGAAAAAUUAGCGGAUGACUUGUGGCUGGGGGUGAAAGGCCAAUCAAACCGGGAGAUAGCUGGUUCUCCCCGAAAGCUAUUUAGGUAGCGCCUCGUGAAUUCAUCUCCGGGGGUAGAGCACUGUUUCGGCAAGGGGGUCAUCCCGACUUACCAACCCGAUGCAAACUGCGAAUACCGGAGAAUGUUAUCACGGGAGACACACGGCGGGUGCUAACGUCCGUCGUGAAGAGGGAAACAACCCAGACCGCCAGCUAAGGUCCCAAAGUCAUGGUUAAGUGGGAAACGAUGUGGGAAGGCCCAGACAGCCAGGAUGUUGGCUUAGAAGCAGCCAUCAUUUAAAGAAAGCGUAAUAGCUCACUGGUCGAGUCGGCCUGCGCGGAAGAUGUAACGGGGCUAAACCAUGCACCGAAGCUGCGGCAGCGACGCUUAUGCGUUGUUGGGUAGGGGAGCGUUCUGUAAGCCUGCGAAGGUGUGCUGUGAGGCAUGCUGGAGGUAUCAGAAGUGCGAAUGCUGACAUAAGUAACGAUAAAGCGGGUGAAAAGCCCGCUCGCCGGAAGACCAAGGGUUCCUGUCCAACGUUAAUCGGGGCAGGGUGAGUCGACCCCUAAGGCGAGGCCGAAAGGCGUAGUCGAUGGGAAACAGGUUAAUAUUCCUGUACUUGGUGUUACUGCGAAGGGGGGACGGAGAAGGCUAUGUUGGCCGGGCGACGGUUGUCCCGGUUUAAGCGUGUAGGCUGGUUUUCCAGGCAAAUCCGGAAAAUCAAGGCUGAGGCGUGAUGACGAGGCACUACGGUGCUGAAGCAACAAAUGCCCUGCUUCCAGGAAAAGCCUCUAAGCAUCAGGUAACAUCAAAUCGUACCCCAAACCGACACAGGUGGUCAGGUAGAGAAUACCAAGGCGCUUGAGAGAACUCGGGUGAAGGAACUAGGCAAAAUGGUGCCGUAACUUCGGGAGAAGGCACGCUGAUAUGUAGGUGAAGUCCCUCGCGGAUGGAGCUGAAAUCAGUCGAAGAUACCAGCUGGCUGCAACUGUUUAUUAAAAACACAGCACUGUGCAAACACGAAAGUGGACGUAUACGGUGUGACGCCUGCCCGGUGCCGGAAGGUUAAUUGAUGGGGUUAGCGCAAGCGAAGCUCUUGAUCGAAGCCCCGGUAAACGGCGGCCGUAACUAUAACGGUCCUAAGGUAGCGAAAUUCCUUGUCGGGUAAGUUCCGACCUGCACGAAUGGCGUAAUGAUGGCCAGGCUGUCUCCACCCGAGACUCAGUGAAAUUGAACUCGCUGUGAAGAUGCAGUGUACCCGCGGCAAGACGGAAAGACCCCGUGAACCUUUACUAUAGCUUGACACUGAACAUUGAGCCUUGAUGUGUAGGAUAGGUGGGAGGCUUUGAAGUGUGGACGCCAGUCUGCAUGGAGCCGACCUUGAAAUACCACCCUUUAAUGUUUGAUGUUCUAACGUUGACCCGUAAUCCGGGUUGCGGACAGUGUCUGGUGGGUAGUUUGACUGGGGCGGUCUCCUCCUAAAGAGUAACGGAGGAGCACGAAGGUUGGCUAAUCCUGGUCGGACAUCAGGAGGUUAGUGCAAUGGCAUAAGCCAGCUUGACUGCGAGCGUGACGGCGCGAGCAGGUGCGAAAGCAGGUCAUAGUGAUCCGGUGGUUCUGAAUGGAAGGGCCAUCGCUCAACGGAUAAAAGGUACUCCGGGGAUAACAGGCUGAUACCGCCCAAGAGUUCAUAUCGACGGCGGUGUUUGGCACCUCGAUGUCGGCUCAUCACAUCCUGGGGCUGAAGUAGGUCCCAAGGGUAUGGCUGUUCGCCAUUUAAAGUGGUACGCGAGCUGGGUUUAGAACGUCGUGAGACAGUUCGGUCCCUAUCUGCCGUGGGCGCUGGAGAACUGAGGGGGGCUGCUCCUAGUACGAGAGGACCGGAGUGGACGCAUCACUGGUGUUCGGGUUGUCAUGCCAAUGGCACUGCCCGGUAGCUAAAUGCGGAAGAGAUAAGUGCUGAAAGCAUCUAAGCACGAAACUUGCCCCGAGAUGAGUUCUCCCUGACUCCUUGAGAGUCCUGAAGGAACGUUGAAGACGACGACGUUGAUAGGCCGGGUGUGUAAGCGCAGCGAUGCGUUGAGCUAACCGGUACUAAUGAACCGUGAGGCUUAACCUUACAACGCCGAAGCUGUU
rnacentral:rRNA from 1 species